rnacentral:rRNA from 1 species
AUAAGCUUGGGAAAACUGGGUCUAAUACCGGAAAAGGACCAUGGUUUAAGUGUCUCAUGGUGGAAAAAUAAUUGUUUCGGUGCAGGAUGAGCUCGCGGCCUAUCAGCUUGUUGGUGGGGUAAUGGCCUACCAAGGCGUCGACGGGUAGCCGGCCUGAGAGGGUGGACGGCCACAUUGGGACUGAGAUACGGCCCAGACUCCUACGGGAGGCAGCAGUGGGGAAUAUUGCACAAUGGGCGCAAGCCUGAUGCAGCGACGCCGCGUGGGGGAUGACGGCUUCGGGUUGUAAACUCCUUUCGUUAGGGACGAAGCCGCACCUUUUUUUGGGUGUGGUGACGGACCUUGUAAGA